UACAGAGGUCCCGAGCGUUGUUCGGAUUUAUUGGGCGUAAAGGGUGCGUAGGCGGCGGAGUAAGUUGGGUGUGAAAUCCCGGGGCUCAACUCCGGAAUCGGCCUCCGAUACUGCCGUGCUUGAGGACUGGAGAGGAGUCUGGAAUUCACAGUGGAGCAGUGAAAUGCGUAGAUAUUGUGAGGAACACUAGUGGCGAAGGCGAGACUCUGGACAGUUCCUGACGCUGAGGCACGAAGGCCAGGGGAGCAAACGGG
rnacentral:rRNA from 1 species